ensembl:lncRNA
AUUUUUUUGUGAUUAAGAAUUUGUCGUAGAAAUAAUAGUAGUUCUAAAAUAUAAUUUCUUGUUUAUUUCUUUUGAUUUAGAACUGAAAUAUGAUAAAUUUGUUGAGAUUCACCCUGUUUUGCUUUGCUUCGUUAUGUCUGAAAUCUUCAGACGUUAAAAUCAAAAAUGCCAAGAAUCGAUUUCUUCUGGAAGUAUUUCGGACGCAGAAAGUUCGAAGACAUUUUAACAAACUUAAAGGUGUCUUCUUUGUCUUUCCUGCGGCGUUGCCAACUUCCUGAAUAAUUUGCUUAUGUUUGCACCAAAUUUUGAGUUGAAGUUGUACGUUAAAUUUUCUUCGAAUGUUCACUAAAGUUCAUUACUGAUGAUGAUUAUUCACGAAGUAUCUCUCGUGAAUCGAUCUGUUAAUCACCGCUGAUUAGUGUUGGUUUUUAAUUUAAGUAUUUCACACAUGUGAACAGUUGCCUUAAAUAUAAAGUUUUGACAUUUGCAUGCCGUUUUUUUCCCCCGAAUUCUUUAUUUCUAAACGUCCCUCUCAGGCGAUUCAUAUAAUAUAUAAAUAAAUAAAUAAAUAAAGAUAUAAUAAAUGGUAGUUUGUAGAAACAGCUCGAUGCUGCCACCCAGAAAACAAGUUGAAAUGAAGUUUGUGCAAUUGAUGUUAUUAACGAUCUUUUAUUCGCAGAUUAAACUUCGGCGAGGAGCUCUAAUAGUUGAUUUCCGCUUUAUGAAUUUCUGUUUUACCGCUUCAUCGUCUGCUGUUCUUCCAUAUCUUCAUCACAUCCAGUGUGAGAGAUAUUAAAUAUGUCGUAUUCUUCGUCUUCUGCAGUAUGAAUGUUAGUGUGUUCACACUUAAUCGUAAACUUUGAUUCGUUUCGUUAGACGUCGCUUGUUGCCAAAUCCUUUCUGGGAGUUCUUCCACUUUAACGACAGACAGCGCUCAUUAAAUCUCUUGGAUGGAAACGUCCGAUGAUAUCUGUGUUUGUUUAGUUUUUUCUGUCAUGACAUACGCAUUCAGUCGAUAUUUCCAGUGAUGUAAAAACCGCCUGUUUCUGACUCGUAACAAACUGUUGGUUUGAUUGUAACAUUGCUCUGACUUUUGAAUAAAAGCACCUGUAAAAUAAAGAUUGCUAUAUUUAUGAUAACUGGUGUUUGUUUUUGUUGUACUUACCCAAAGCUUAUAGAACAUGUAAAUAUAUUGUACAAAUAGGCCACAGACUUACAAAUAAAAUACAGCUG